CUCUCCAAGCCAUUGCACUUUAAGCCAAGCUGAUUCUUUUCAAUAGACUAUUCGUAUUUACUUAAGCUUCACGCAUUUAAAAUCGUAUUUAUUAAUUGAUCUGUUAAUUCUUUCCAAGUAAAUGUUGAUUAUCUGAUUAACCUGAAACCUGCAUCAACUAUUGACCGAUUGAAAGGAUCAACUACCAAUUGUCCAGAAGAAAGCGUUAAUUGUUUCUCCAAACAUUCACUCAAUCUUAAACAAUGUUACACUUGCAUUGACAACACAAAUGGCUGACAAGCAGUUAAUCCUUGAACACCAACCGUUUAUCCUGUUGAUUGAUUGAGACUAAAGUGUUUGACUGAAUAAACCGUGAGGUUACAUUUGAUUUCAUUAGGCUUAUUGAUCUGGUCUAAUUUAAAUUACUCGGGUGGAGCAGUUGAUACAACAUUUAAAUGUUGUAUAUAUUUGACUAAACGUAUCAACCAACACUUAUACACUGUAUUUUAAUAGAUGGUUACUCACAAAAUGGUAACCAUUAUGAUGUAAUUGUUAAAGGUGAACAAGUUUAUUUCAUCAGGUUUACUCCAUUUUGAACCAUUUUAAAGAACUGACCGAGGCCAGCAUUUAAACUGUUCACAGCUAAACUUAUAACCACGGUUUUGUUAAUGAUAAUAGCGAUAAUAUUAUUUAAUAUAAAUAAUAAUUCGACUCAAAAUUAACAUCAUGAUACAUUUAAUAUGGAAACCUAAUAACAAAAUGUGACCUCAAUUCAAUUAAUCUUUCCUUCGUAACAAUUCAAUCCCUCAACAUCUAAUUUCGUGUUAAAAACUAAGGUUGGUUACCAAUGAAACAGAUGGACCCAUCCCAGGUCAAGACACUAAGGUUAAAGUUCACCCAGCAAAACUGUAAACUCAAUGGUAAAUCAGUGUAAAUCAGUAUGUAUAAUCACGUUUCAAAAAAUUGAUCUCACCUCACUUUUACCCAAAAAUAAACCAGAGUUUAUGGUCGACUCAAGGAAACACGAAAAGCAAAACCCAAAAGCUAAUAUUUUUCCCAUUCCUAAUAUUUGAUUUACAAUGAAUUGACAAAUUUUUCAAAUUUUUUCACCCAAAACAAGUAAACACAAUUUGAUUAACAUCCAAAUUGUUUACCAUUUAAGCCUAAACCCAAAGUUAAAGUCAACCCAAAAGUCAAGCCAACAGUCAACCCAAAGUUGAGUCUAACUGAUGGUCAACUUGAUUCAUAUUAUUUAUGAUAAUCUUUUAAUGUGGUUUUGAUCAUCUAAUGUUAAUCAAGCUGCAAGUGUUGCUCCUAAAAAUAUGCAAAAACAAAAAAACGGAUUGUUUUUUUUCUGAUUAAUCUUCUACCUUUACCUCAACUUACAAUUACGCAUUAAUUUAGACAACAUUUAGUUAUAUUUAUUAUAUUUAUUUGAUUCAAUAUAAAUAUAUAACCAAGAAUAAAUUGUAAUUUGAAAAAAAAGCGAAAUGUUUUAAAUGAAAAGAGGUAAAGUGAAAGUAAAGGUUUUUUAAUAUUAACCAACACACCUUAACGCUACUUUCAUUAAUCGGAAUCAGUUUUUCAUUUCUUGUUAAAUUGUUAACUUUUAAAUGAUUUAAACAAAUUUUUCAUCUCAUAUUUUACUCUUGAUCAUCAUCAACCUCAUCUUCGUAAUCAAUUUAGCAAAUUUAACCAGUUAAACCAAAUUGUAACAACUUAUAUCAAGUCUACUGACUUCUGUUCCGAGUCUUAUUUUUAACAGCUUUUCUCCAUCUUUAGCUGUGUUACGGUGGAUUUAAAAAUUGAUUGUAACUAAUCAAAUUGAGUCAACUGUUUUAGCUUAACUGCCAAAUUAUUGACAACACACCUUAUAAUGAUUAUAAUUGUACUAAAUUGUUGAGGAUAAUCAGGUAGCUUUGAAGACUUUCAAGCUUCUGUACUAACCAGCCUUGAGUUACAGCUGUUUAUUCAGUUUGUCAAUUGUUGACUUUUUGGUGUUUUCAUCUUUUCAAACCAACAGAAAGACCAGAAAAAAUUGGGUUUACAGAGAUGAACCAGAAAACCCAAAAGCAACUUGUUUUUAGCCAAGAUUAAAGAUAGUGAAAGUAUUAGGAAAAAGCGAUUCCCAUUUUUGAUUAACUAUUUUAAGCAAAUGUAAUCAUGUAAAUCAAUUGUUACACCAAACUGUAGACUUUCACAUUUUUUUAAUGGGUAAAUGGUCAAAACACAAUUGACCAGUUUUAAUUUAGAUCACCGCUGAUUCAGUUGAUAGUUGAAGAUGGUGAUUGUAAUUGUAAUCUCGAUGCCAAAAGAUGUUAAAUGAUGAAGGAAGAAGCUGAAAUAAAUGGAUUAACUGAUUAAUUUUUCCUGUUGAUUCCUGUUGAUAUGAACCCGUUGUUUUAAAUUAACAUCCUUAUUUUGUGUUCAUUAUCUCAUUCAUCUUACCUAUUAUUGUAUUUUCACCUUAAUUUAAAUUGCUAUUAACUUGUUCCUUACCUUAAAAUUUGCCCUUUUUUUCAAUACCUUUAAGCUUCUCAGGUGAAGUAAAAGUAGAAACAAAAAAAGGUUAAAAUGAAAAGCAAAAAACAUUUAACCUUUUCACUUUUCAUUAAUUGUUGUCAUCUUUAUAUUAAUCAACAAAAAUUGAAUACAAUGUUUCCUUGAAUCA